rfam:Meleagris gallopavo isolate NT-WF06-2002-E0010 breed Aviagen turkey brand Nicholas breeding stock chromosome 3, whole genome shotgun sequence.
GGUUCCAUAGUGUAGUGGUUAUCACAUCUGCUUUACACGCAGAAGGUCCUGAGUUCGAUCCUCAGUGGAACCA